rnacentral:rRNA from 1 species
UACGUAGGGUGCAAGCGUUAAUCGGAAUUACUGGGCGUAAAGCGUGCGCAGGCGGUUUUGUAAGACCGAUGUGAAAUCCCCCGGGCUUAACCUGGGAACUGCAUUGGUGACUGCAAGGCUUGAGUGUGUCAGAGGGAGGUGGAAUUCCGCGUGUAGCAGUGAAAUGCGUAGAUAUGCGGAGGAACACCGAUGGCGAAGGCAGCCUCCUGGGAUAACACUGACGCUCAUGCACGAAAGCGUGGGGAGCAAACAGG